rnacentral:tRNA from 1 species
GGGCGGAUGGCGGAAUUGGUAGACGCGCCAGACUCAAAAUCUGGUGGCCGCAAGGCCGUGGAGGUUCAAGUCCUCUUCUGCCCA